ensembl:lncRNA
AACAAUAGGAAAUGUAGUCUUAGCUGUUUUAAAAUUACACCAAGUUUAUUUCGGGUUAUUCCAACGGAAGAAUACAAGGCGCAGGGAACUUUGAGGUGCGUAAACGCUAUUUCCAAAUUCCAGAGGUGCGUAAACGGCGUUUACGUGCGUUUACCCUCCACUACAGCCCUGGUCACAUUUAAUAGCUAUAUUAAACUCCUUUUCUUCCCUUCUCAGGACCAGGCAAGACCCCCUUGCGUGUCCCUUGCGUCGCUUUUCA